UACAGAGGGGGCAAGCGUUGUUCGGAAUUACUGGGCGUAAAGGGCGCGUAGGCGGCCUGUUAAGUCGAACGUGAAAUCCCCGGGCUCAACCCGGGAACUGCGUCCGAGACUGGCAGGCUCGAAUCCGGGAGAGGGAUGUGGAAUUCCAGGUGUAGCGGUGAAAUGCGUAGAUAUCUGGAGGAACAUCGGUGGCGAAGGCGGCAUCCUGGACCGGUAUUGACGCUGAGGCGCGAAAGCCAGGGGGAGCAAACGGGAGU
rnacentral:rRNA from 1 species